GGAUAUAGCUCAGUUGGUAGAGUGCUUGCCUUGCAUGCACAAGGCCCUGGGUUCAAUACCCAGCACCA
rnacentral:tRNA from 1 species